UUGAACGCUGGCGGCAGGCUUAACACAUGCAAGUCGAGCGGAGAGAGGUAGCUUGCUACUGAUCUUAGCGGCGGACGGGUGAGUAAUACUUAGGAAUCUGGCUAUUAGUGGGGGACAACAUUUCGAAAGGGAUGCUAAUACCGCAUACGUCCUACGGGAGAAAGCAGGGGAUCUUCGGACCUUGCGCUAAUAGAUGAGCCUAAGUCGGAUUGGCUAGUUGGUGGGGUAAAGGCCUACCAAGGCGACGAUCUGUAGCGGGUCUGAGAGGAUGAUCCGCCACACUGGGACUGAGACACGGCCCAGACUCCUACGGGAGGCAGCAGUGGGGAAUAUUGGACAAUGGGGGGAACCCUGAUCCAGCCAUGCCGCGUGUGUGAAGAAGGCCUUAUGGUUGUAAAGCACUUUAA
rnacentral:rRNA from 1 species